AUAUCUCCAAGUACAUUGCUGGCUGAUUUCACUUUCACAUAGUUAAAAUUACAACGCCACUUAAGAAAUUUGCAUUCAUUUAGUAUUUCAACAUCGUAUAUAUCGAUUUAAAGACAAACUUUAACCAAACCCUUCACCAUUUGUCUGUUUGCUUUCACAAUUUACUUAUAUAUGGCAUCGAUGAUAAUUUUGCUUUUUC
rnacentral:lncRNA from 1 species